GAUGAACGCUGGCGGCGUGCCUAAUACAUGCAAGUCGAGCGAACGGACGAGAAGCUUGCUUUUCUGAUGUUAGCGGCGGACGGGUGAGUAACACGUGGAUAACCUACCUAUAAGACUGGGAUAACUUCGGGAAACCGGAGCUAAUACCGGAUAAUAUUUUGAACCGCAUGGUUCAAAAGUGAAAGACGGUCUUGCUGUCACUUAUAGAUGGAUCCGCGCUGCAUUAGCUAGUUGGUAAGGUAACGGCUUACCAAGGCAACGGUGCAUAGCCGACCUGAGAGGGUGAUCGGCCACACUGGAACUGAGACACGGUCCAGACUCCUACGGGAGGCAGCAGUAGGGAAUCUUCCGCAAUGGGCGAAAGCCUGACGGAGCAACGCCGCGUGAGUGAUGAAGGUCUUCGGAUCGUAAAACUCUGUUAUUAGGGAAGAACAUAUGUGUAAGUAACUGUGCACAUCUUGACGGUACCUAAUCAGAAAGCCACGGCUAACUACGUG
rnacentral:rRNA from 1 species